CCUUUGGGAGGUAAUUAGGAUUAGAUGAUGUCAUAAAGGUGUGAAGCAUUUGUGAAUGGGAUUAGUGUCCUUAUAAGAGUUCUGGUAAAGGUUACUUCCCUCUCUGCUCCCUGCCAUGUGAGGACACAGAGAAGUUAGCAGUCUGCAGCCCAGAAGAGGACACUCACCAGAACCCAACCACGCUGGCACCCUGAUCUCAGACUUCCAGCCUCCGGAAUCGUUUCUGACCCUUGAGCCUAAAAGACUACGGCAUACUACAGGGCAUAUGCCAAGAUGAGAGCAAAAUGGAAAACAGAAAGCAGAUGAGGUGGAUGCAGUUUCAAAUGUGGCUGUGCGCUUCUGGGUAAACAAAGUGAAAAGGGAAAUUCGGUCAACUACAUUGUUCUCAUUAAGCAUGAAGUGAGAAUGCUCAAGUUCCUUAGGACCAGCAAAGCUUUUUUCUAGCACUUAUUUCUCAAAGCACAAUAGGCAUUAUACAAGGAACUACUGGGAGAUAUGGAGGAUGCUGUCUUCAUUAACUGACACUUUGCAGCGAAUUCAAUAAUGGGAUGUAUAAGGCUGCUGUUCAGAGCAUCUGUUAUGAACACUGAGGGACUCAUGCUUCCAUGGUUGGUCAACUUGAUUCUGUGCAGUUGGAAGAAAGGCAAUGUGGUCUGAGUAUGCCAGCAUCCAGAGGCUCUCUGCAAGUGUCAGUGUUCCAGGAACUGGUCCCCAAACAUUUUAGCCACAACUGACUCUCAGCCCAUUUCUGCCCUUUCCCUCUCAGUGCAAGCUCAUUUGUACCAACUUCUGAAGGUUCCACUCUCCCGUCCCGAGGAGGGAAAUACAAGAGAAUUGAAACCUCCUGCCCUUCAUCCCUGAGAAGGGUUGCACAGAGGUGCCUGCAGAUGUCAAGAACUGUCCUCCACAGCAUCCCUGUUCUUUACCUCCUGUCUCCAUGAUUAAUUCAAGCUGUUGGGAUCUCACAUUACCAUCAGGCUGUCACUGCACUGAGGGUCCCAAAUGGCUCCAGCCCAAGCAACAAAUUAAUCCAGGCUGCUGAGCUUCUGGAAGAUGAAGAACUGACCCAUCGGAAAAUAUACAGAUUGGAACAAGCAUAGCUUUAUUCUUCCCCUUCUCGGGAUGGACCCCAACACCUAACCAAGGCUUUCCCUCUUACACUAAGCUUUGAGGACAGCCAUGGCCUCAUAAGAAUCACAAUCCAUUCUACAAGUCCAGCAACAGUUCAUCAAGGAGAGACUGGUGGCCACUGGCCAAGAUCUCUGUAUGCUCCUCAAGGGUUUCAAUAGUUGGAUUCCAUUUACCUCUCUGGAUUCCAGCUGCCUCACCUUAUAAAAUCACAGCUGGUACCAAUCCUCCAGGCUCAGCUCACAGCAAAAGGGCAAAAGAUAUAUCUAGGUCUAAAUAGACCAAAAGCAAAAAAAAGUCUCCAGUAUCCACUGUUAUGGACUGAAUGUUUGUGUGCCCUCAAAAUUCAUAUGUUGAAACCCUAACCCCCAAUGGUUCUGUAUUUGAAGAUGGGGUCUGUGAGAAGAUGACAAAGAUCAAAUGAAGUCAUAAGGAUGGGGCCCUAAUCUCACAGGGUGGGUCCCCUUAUCAGAAGAGGAAGAAACACCAGAGUGCUCUCUCUCUUUCCACCAUGUGAGGACACAGCAAGAAGGUGGCUGUCUGCAAGCCAGGAAGGGAGCCCUCUCCAAAACUGUCCCUGAUGGACUUGGUCUGGUAUGUCUACCCUCCAGAAUUGUGAGAAAAUAAAUUCCUGUUGUUUAAGCCA
rnacentral:lncRNA from 1 species